rnacentral:rRNA from 1 species
GACGGAAGGUGCAAGCGUUGCUCGGAAUCACUGGGCGUAAAGGGUGCGUAGGCGGCUUCUUAAGUCUGGUGUGAAAGCCCAGGGCUCAGCUCUGGAAGUGCACUAGAUACUGGGAAGCUUGAGUACCGGAGGGGAGAGUGGAAUUCCUGGUGUAGCGGUGAAAUGCGUAGAUAUCAGGAGGAACACCGGUGGCGAAGGCGGCUCUCUGGACGGUGACUGACGCUGAGACGCGAAAGCGUGGGGAGCAAACAGG